rnacentral:rRNA from 1 species
UAGGGAAUCUUCCACAAUGGACGCAAGUCUGAUGGAGCAACGCCGCGUGAGUGAAGAAGGUUUUCGGAUCGUAAAGCUCUGUUGUUGGUGAAGAAGGAUAGAGGCAGUAACCGGUCUUUAUUUGACGGUAAUCAACCAGAAAGUCACGGCUAACUACGUGCCAGCAGCCGCGGUAAUACGUAGGUGGCAAGCGUUGUCCGGAUUUAUUGGGCGUAAAGCGAGCGCAGGCGGAAUGAUAAGUCUGAUGUGAAAGCCCACGGCUCAACCGUGGAACUGCAUCGGAAACUGUCAUUCUUGAGUGCAGAAGAGGAGAGUGGAACUCCAUGUGUAGCGGUGGAAUGCGUAGAUAUAUGGAAGAACACCAGUGGCGAAGGCGGCUCUCUGGUCUGCAACUGACGCUGAGGCUACGAAAGCAUGGGUAGCGAACAGGAUUAGAUACCCUGGUAGUCCAUGCCGUAAACGAUGAGCGCUAGGUGUUGGGGACUUUCCGGUCCUCAGUGCCGCAGCAAACGCAUUAAGCGCUCCGCCUGGGGAGUACGACCGCAAGGUUGAAAC